AGAGUUUGAUCAUGGCUCAGCCUGAACGCUGGCGGCGUGGCUAAGACAUGCAAGUCGCACGGGCGUAGCAAUACGCCAGUGGCGAACGGGUGAGUAAUGAAUCGCUAAUGUACCCCGGACUUUGGGAUAGCUAUCCGAAAGGGUAGGUAAUACCAGAUGACAUCACCGCACGGCAUCGUGUGGUGCUCAAAGGUCCGCCGGUCCGGGAGCAGGCGAUUUCGUAUCAGCUAGUUGGUGAGGUAACGGCUCACCAAGGCGACGACGCGUAGCCGGACUGAGAGGUUGGCCGGCCACAUCGGGACUGAGACACUGCCCGGACUCCUACGGGGGGCUGCAGUAACGAAUCUUCCCCAAUGCACGCAAGUGUGAGGGAGCGACGCCGCGUGUGGGACGAAGUCCUUCGGGAUGUAAACCACUGUCAGGGGAUACCAAGUUCUGAGGAUCCCCAGAGGAAGGGGCGGCUAACUCUGUGCCAGCAGCCGCGGUAAGACAGAGGCCCCAAGCGUUAGGCGGAAUCACUGGGCUUAAAGCGUGUGUAGGCGGACGCCUAAGUGUCUUGUGAAAUCCCACGGCUCACCCGUGGAACUGCUGGGCAUACUGGGCGUCUUGGGCCAACUAGGGGCAGCCGGAACAAGCGGUGGAGCGGUGAAAUGCGUAGAUAUCGCUUGGAACGCCGAAGGUGAAAACAGGCUGCUGGGGUUGUGCCGACGCUGAGACACGAAAGCCAGGGGAGCAAACGGGAUUAGAUACCCUAGUAGUCC
rnacentral:rRNA from 1 species